rnacentral:rRNA from 1 species
GACGAACGCUGGCGGCGUGCUUAACACAUGCAAGUCGAACGGUGAACUCCGCUUGCGGGGGGAUCAGUGGCGAACGGGUGCGUAACACGUGGGCAACCUGCCCUCAGCUCUGGGAUAACUCCAAGAAAUUGGGGCUAAUACCGGAUAUGACCGCUGACCGCAUGGUCUGGUGGUGGAAAGAUUUAUCGGCUGGGGAUGGGCCCGCGGCCUAUCAGCUUGUUGGUGGGGUAGUGGCCUACCAAGGCGACGACGGGUAGCCGGCCUGAGAGGGUGACCGGCCACACGGGGACUGAGAGACGGCCAAGACUCCUAAGGGAGGAAGAAGUGGGGAAUAAUGCGCAAAGGGCGAAAGCCUGAAGCAGCGAAGCCGCGUGGGGGAAGACGGACUUCGGGUUGGAAAACUUUUUCAGCAGGGAAGAAGGGAAAGUGAAGGUACCGUCAGAAGAAGCAACGGCAAAAUAAGUG